rnacentral:rRNA from 2 species
AGAGUUUGAUCCUGGCUCAGAUUGAACGCUGGCGGCAGGCCUAACACAUGCAAGUCGAGCGGAUGAGUGGAGCUUGCUCCAUGAUUCAGCGGCGGACGGGUGAGUAAUGCCUAGGAAUCUGCCUGGUAGUGGGGGACAACGUUUCGAAAGGAACGCUAAUACCGCAUACGUCCUACGGGAGAAAGCAGGGGACCUUCGGGCCUUGCGCUAUCAGAUGAGCCUAGGUCGGAUUAGCUAGUUGGUGAGGUAAAGGCUCACCAAGGCGACGAUCCGUAGCUGGUCUGAGAGGAUGAUCAGUCACACUGGAACUGAGACACGGUCCAGACUCCUACGGGAGGCAGCAGUGGGGAAUAUUGGACAAUGGGCGAAAGCCUGAUCCAGCCAUGCCGCGUGUGUGAAGAAGGUCUUCGGAUUGUAAAGCACUUUAAGUUGGGAGGAAGGGCAGUAAGUUAAUACCUUGCUGUUUUGACGUUACCGGCAGAAUAAGCACCGGCUAACUUCGUGCCAGCAGCCGCGGUAAUACGAAGGGUGCAAGCGUUAAUCGGAAUUACUGGGCGUAAAGCGCGCGUAGGUGGUUCGUUAAGUUGGAUGUGAAAGCCCCGGGCUCAACCUGGGAACUGCAUCCAAAACUGGCGAGCUAGAGUAUGGCAGAGGGUGGUGGAAUUUCCUGUGUAGCGGUGAAAUGCGUAGAUAUAGGAAGGAACACCAGUGGCGAAGGCGACCACCUGGGCUAAUACUGACACUGAGGUGCG